UUACGGCCACAUCACUUAGAAACACCGGUUCCUGUAUGAUCACCGAAGUUAAGCAGCGACCCAGCCUGGUCAGUACCUAUAUGGGUAACCGCUUGAGAAUACCAGGUGCUGCA